AUUGAACGCUGGCGGCAUGCCUUACACAUGCAAGUCGAACGGCAGCACGGGUGCUUGCUCCUGGUGUCGAGUGGCGAACGGGUGAGUAAUACAUCGGAACAUGUCCUGUAGUGGGGGAUAGCCCGGCGAAAGCCGGAUUAAUACCGCAUACGAUCUACGUAUGAAAGCGGGGGGCCUUCGGGCCUCGCGCUGUAGGGUUGGCCGAUGGCUGAUUAGCUAGUUGGUGGGGUAAAGGCCUACCCGGGCGACGAUCAGGAGCUGGUCUGAGAGGGCGACCAGCCACACUGGGACUGAGACACGGCCCAGACUCCUACGGGAGGCAGCAGUGGGGAAUUUUGGACAAUGGGCGAAAGCCUGAUCCAGCAAUGCCGCGUGUGUGAAGAAGGCCUUCGGGUUGUAAAGCACUUUUGUCCGGAAAGAAAUCCUUGGCCCUAAUACGGUCGGGGGAUGACGGUACCGGAAGAAUAAGCACCGGCUAACUACGUG
rnacentral:rRNA from 1 species